rnacentral:rRNA from 1 species
GAUGAACGCUGGCGGCGUGCCUAAUACAUGCGAGUCGAGCGAACAGACGAGGAGCUUGCUCCUCUGACGUUAGCGGCGGACGGGUGAGUAGCACGUGGAUAACCUACCUAUAAGACUGGGAUAACUUCGGGAAACCGGAGCUAAUACCGGAUAAUAUAUUGAACCGCAUGGUUCAAUAGUGAAAGACGGUUUUGCUGUCACUUAUAGAUGGAUCCGCGCCGCAUUAGCUAGUUGGUAAGGUAACGGCUUACCAAGGCAACGAUGCGUAGCCGACCUGAGAGGGUGAUCGGCCACACUGGAACUGAGACACGGUCCAGACUCCUACGGGAGGCAGCAGUAGGGAAUCUUCCGCAAUGGGCGAAAGCCUGACGGAGCAACGCCGCGUGAGUGAUGAAGGUCUUCGGAUCGUAAAACUCUGUUAUUAGGGAAGAACAAAUGUGUAAGUAACUACGCACGUCUUGACGGUACCUAAUCAGAAAGCCACGGCUAACUACGUG